rnacentral:rRNA from 1 species
AUACGGAGGAUCCGAGCGUUAUCCGGAUUUAUUGGGUUUAAAGGGUGCGCAGGCGGCCAUUUAAGUCAGCGGUUAAAUCGUGGGGCUCAACCCCAUUCUGCCGUUGAUACUGGGUGGCUUGAUUGCGGUCGAGGUUGGCGGAAUUCGUUGUGUAGCGGUGAAAUGCAUAGAUAUGACGAAGAACACCGAUUGCGUAGGCAGCUGACCAGACCGCAAAUGACGCUCAUGCACGAAAGUGCGGGGAUCGAACAGGAUUAGAUACCCUGGUAGUCCGCACAGUAAACGAUGAAUACUUGUUUUCGGCAAUAUAAUGUCGGAGGCAAAGCGAAAGCGAUAAGUAUUCCACCUGGGGAGUACGCCGGCAACGGUGAAACUCAAAUGAAUUGACGGGG